AGGGGGAGGCCAGAUCCUGGGCUGUGCCCCCGGUGCCCAGUGCUCCUGGGCCUGCGCUGUUGGAAUCACUCUCCCAGCCAGGCAGCCCCCU
rnacentral:pre_miRNA from 1 species